rnacentral:misc_RNA from 1 species
AGUCAUAACAAGGUUUCUGUAGGUGAACCUGCAGAAGGAUCAUUAGAGAAUUGCAUAGGAGCACCACUCUGUGGGCUCCAAACCUUUCCUAUCUUCCACAUACACCUGUGCAUGCAUGAUCGUGUUGGCUGCUGUCGCCUAGCGGCUCUGGCUGAUGCGGUUGUCUUUUUCACUUAACUCUAUGUUAAUGGAUGUGAACAAACCGAGCUAUACGCUCAAAUGAAAGUAAAACUUUCGACAACGGAUCUCUUGGUUCUCC